rnacentral:rRNA from 1 species
GAUGAACGCUGGCGGCGUGCCUAAUACAUGCAAGUCGAGCGAACGGACGAGAAGCUUGCUUCUCUGAUGUUAGCGGCGGACGGGUGAGUAACACGUGGAUAACCUACCUAUAUUACUGGGAUAACUUCGUGAAACCGUAGCUACUACCAGCGAAUAUUAUGUACCGCAUGGUUCAAAAGAGAAUGACGCUCUUCCCGUCACUAAUAGAUGGAUCCGUGCUGCAUUAGCUAGUUGGUAAGGUAACGGCUUACCAAGGCAACGAUGCAUAGCUGACCUGAGAGGGUGAUCGGCCACACUGGAACUGAGACACGGUCCAGACUCCUACGGGAGGCAGCAGUAGGGAAUCUUCCGCAAUGGGCGAAAGCCUGACGGAGCAACGCCGCGUGAGUGAUGAAGGUCUUCGGAUCGUAAAACUCUGUUAUUAGGGAAGAACAUAUGUGUAAGUAAAUGCGCCUAUCUUGACGGUACCUAAUCAGAAAGCAACGGCUAACUACGUG